rnacentral:rRNA from 1 species
GACGAACGCUGGCGGCGUGCUUAACACAUGCAAGUCGAACGGAAAGGCCUGCUUUCCCUUGUGGAUUGCGGGUACUCGCGUGGCGAACGGGUGAGUAACACGUGAGUGAUCUGCUCCCAACUUGGGUAUAAGCCUGGGAAACUGGGUCUAAUUCCCGAUAGGACUGCAGGGUGGUGCCUGUGGUGGAAAAGGAUUUUCUAGUGGUUGGGGAUGAGCUCGCGGCCUAUCAGCUGGUUGGUGGGGGAAUGGCCUACCAAGGGGGCGACGGGUAGCCGGCCUGGGGUGGUGGACGGCCACGUUGGAACUGAGAUACGGCCCAGACUCCUACGGGAGGCAGCAUUGGGGAAGAUUGCACAAUGGGCGGAGGCCUGAUGCCGCGACGCCGCGUGAGGGAUGACGGCCUUCGGGUUGUAGACUCCUUUCGGCCGCGAGGAAGCCACCUGGUUGGAAGGGUGGUGACGGUAGUGGUAGAAGAAGCACCGGCUAACUACGUG